GUAUUAAUAGUAUAGUUUUAUUAUUUUGCCCUUCCACGGCAAAGACCUCAGAUGAGUUAGUAUA
rnacentral:tRNA from 1 species